GCAGCCGCACCGCCCCCUGUUCCGCCCCGGGCGCGGGGUUCCGUUUUCCGGAGACCUCCUCGUCUUAUCUGAACCGAGCGCGCAGCUGCCGCGCGUUAAUAACGAAGUGGAGAAGUGAAACAUGGCUGUGACAAAGGGAGGGGAAACCCGGCACCGCAGAUUCCUGCUUUCGGGCCGACGUCACCCGGUCCUCGUGGGUCACAGCAGGGAGUUUCCCAGCUGGCAGUGAGGGCUAUGAGACACUGGUAGGGAUGGGCUGCGGCCGCACAGAUCGCAUAUGGGCACAUCGACCGACGUGAUGUGGAGAGCUGUGCUGUGCAUCCACGCUGUCCUGUCUGUGACCCCGCACAAGGCAGGAUUGAUUUCAUCUUCGUCUCAUAGCAGCCGACCCCAGGGAUUCCACACCCAGGAAGCGCCUACGAACAAUGGUCAUCUCAUUGAGGUCUGCUUCCAUGGGUAGAGCCCACAGCCCAGCUGGGAGAGCCAGAGCAGCGACUUUGCUGACACUUCCUCGCUCCCCCUUUGCACCACCGCUCCUCAGCGGCUCCAGGAGACAGAAAGAGGUUGGUGAGAGUUGGCUGCAAUGUCAUCUGCAGCCCAGCUGGUGUGGGACACUCGACGGGAGGGGAAAGGAGCUCUGCUCUUCAGCUUCUCGUCGUGGUGUUUCAUGGUUGGGAGGCACCAAACUCCCGUAAAAACGCUGUCCCUGUUUGCUCUGCUUUGCACUUCUCACGGGACAGAAAGUUUGGUAUUUCUGUACACUGCUUACUGUCUGGCUUAUUCAAAGCAACAAAAAUAAACACCAUUAAGUCUG